rnacentral:rRNA from 1 species
UGGUCAUCUCAACUUGAAACACCGAUUUUAUCCGAUCAUCGAAGUUAAGCAACGUUGAACCUUGUUAGUACCUAGAUGCGUGGCCACUCAGGAAUACCAGGUGCUGAA